AUAUGAACUAAAAACCCACAUUGGGCAUGUAUUUUUGCACUUGCUUGAGACACGAGGGGCGAAAAGCCAGAAAACCACGCUUGGGGGAUAAUCAGUCUUCUUGGCACAAAAAAACUGUUAGCACUGCUGCUAACCUGUGAUUAUGUACAAGGAAGUCUUUGAAGGAAAAACAACAGUCGGGGCAAGUUAGUGUCAGUGUGUGCUUUUGUUUCUAUGCUUGGAAAUCACAGUGCUCCUUUGGACUUUAUUCGGACGUUUAUUGAGUGUUAGCAACAAUUUGCAAGUGAGGCAGACUGCAAUCCAAAUACAACUACCUUGAGCAGUGUCUGGGGAUUGCUCCAGGGCCUAACAGUACCGGACAGCAUCAGACAGCAUUGGAUGACUUUCCAGUCAGACUUAUUCAGGGCGGAUCAUACAGUGAGCAAAAUUCUGCAGCAGCAUUCAUAACAUGGAUGAGAAAAAGAAGUAGAGGAGGAGGUGGAGAGGUAGAAGGAUGGAUUAGGCGGUGUAAGGUGAGGGGAGGAGGAGUGGUGCAUUAUGGGGGAUCAGCCCCAGCUGUCCUGUCGUUCUGCUGCAUGCUUCUCCAGCCGUCUGGCAGGCAGCCAAUAGGAGGCAGCAGAUUCAGUGCCACUCCAGUUCAGUGUGUCAGUGCACACACACACACACGCCCUGCACCACUGCAGCAAUGGCCUAAUUUACCUCUACACCUUUUCCAUCUGGAACGCAUGCAUACACACACAUACACACACACACACACACACACACACACACACACACACACACACACACACACACACACACCAGAUUGGACGAACCACAAUAAACACAAAGAUUUAUGAUAAAGAACAAGGCAG